GACGAACGCUGGCGGCGUGCUUAACACAUGCAAGUCGAACGAAGAGCGAUGGAAGCUUGCUUCUCUCAAUCUUAGUGGCGAACGGGUGAGUAACGCGUAAUCAACCUGCCCUUCAGAGGGGGACAACAGUUGGAAACGACUGCUAAUACCGCAUACGAUCUAAUCUCGGCAUCGAGGAUGGAUGAAAGGUGGCCUCUACAUGUAAGCUAUCACUGAAGGAGGGGAUUGCGUCUGAUUAGCUAGUUGGGGGGGUAACGGCCCACCAAGGCGAUGAUCAGUAGCCGGUCUGAGAGGAUGAACGGCCACAUUGGGACUGAGACACGGCCCAGACUCCUACGGGAGGCAGCAGUGGGGAAUCUUCCGCAAUGGACGAAAGUCUGACGGAGCAACGCCGCGUGAGGGAUGACGGCCUUCGGGUUGUAAAGCUCUGUUAAUCGGGACGAAAGGCCUUCUUGCGAAUAGUGAGAAGGAUUGACGGUACCGGAAUAGAAAGCCACGGCUAACUACGUG
rnacentral:rRNA from 1 species